rnacentral:lncRNA from 1 species
CCUCCUUGCUCCACCGCCGCCAUCCUUCAACAUCUCCAGAGCUCAGCAAAACAAAAAAUCGAUUAGCCACCAUCCUUUUGAUUAGCCACCAUCUCCAGAGCUCAGCAAAACAAAAAAAUCGAUUAGCUAAAAAAUGAAUACAUCAGAGAACUUAGAAACAUCAAAGAGUGGGAGUAACCCAAUGUGUACCUCCUAGGUUUGAGGCAAACUCCAAAAUGGUGGAUUCCGUUUUGAUUUUGAAG